GUGUGUGUGUGUGUGUGUGUAAGACCUGGGACCCUAGUGUGUGUGGGUUCGGGCAGAUAUGGGCAGGUGUAAUACACUUAAGGUAAGCCUAGGGGUAAGAAGCUGUCACUACCGUCUGCCUGGGGCCUGUGAGAAGGGUUGUGAGAGGGAGAAUAUUGCCACAGGGUCAUUGCCUGAAGAUCGAUAAAGUCUGGACCCCCCUGCACAAUGCAGGAGGUUAUCUGGCCUAUGCUGAUGUCUGUCACCCAUUUCCCCACUUCUAGAACCUGAUGUGCUCUAGACAUUUUGCUCUACUUUUCUUUUUUUCUUACUCUCUUUCUUGAUAGCCUUUUAAAGUCCGGAAUAACUCUAGGGUUACAGAAAAGUUGUAAAAAUAGUACAGCUUCUCCCUAAUGUUAACAUCUUAUGUUACCAUGGGAUGUUUGUCCAAACUAAGAAGUUAACACUGGUACAGUACUAUUAACUGAACAGAUUUUAUUCGUAUUUCAUCAGUUUUUCCACUCAUGUCCAUUUCCUGUUCCAGUAUCCAAUCCAAGAUCUCACAGUGAUUUAGUAUCUUGCAUUUCUUUUAAUUCUCUGAAUUCACUGGGCUCAUGCCGGCCUGUUUGCCUUGGAGCCUGCCAUUUUCUUUCUCACAGUAACUUUCCUGCUCACAGCAAAUUCUUAUUCAUCCUGCAGUAACCCUUUUUUUGAGUCAAAAAUAAUGUGGGGAACUUGGUAGGAGUGGGAUUUGGGUAUCUGGCCCUUCACAGUACUGAGUGGGGGAAAAUGCCAUUCCCCUUUCCACGCCCAGGAUCUCAUUUGACUCUCACUUGGGUUUUAUAUAUCCUUCUUUACACAAAUGCAAACAAAUACUAACGCAUAUUACUACUCAUUCCCCCUUCUCCCAGCCGUGGUUACUCAAGGUCCACAGGUGACUUUCAUAGGACAGCAUAGUUGGCCAGUGGCAGAGGGGGAACCUGAACCCAAGUCUCUGAGUUCCAGUUUCAUCGGCUGGCUGCCUGGAUCCUUCAUGCGUGGCCUGUCUCUGCUGUCCUCGGUUGUCCAAUCUGGAUUCGAUGACUAUUUAUCGACUGACCAUGUGCCUGAUACUCUGUUUACGCCAAGGAUGGAGAGGAGGCUGUUCAAAGAACCAGAGACAAAGCCACUGAAUCAGAGACAAAGACAAGGUGGAUGACGGAGUUUAAUUCAUUUUCAUUUUCACACGUGCGCAUCUCAGGCCACUGAGCAUCCAUUCACCCUUUGGGUAAAAAAGCACCUCACCUGCCCUUUAAGAACCUCCCCUUCCUUCCCCCCACCCCUGCUCCCCAUUCUGGCACUUAUACUUUGGGUGGGAUUGAUCCCACUCUAUGAGUCAGCCCGACUGGCCAAAACCAGUUUGUCUUCCAGGCUUGGGAGGGGCCUGGGCUCCAACCAGAGCCAAUGAGACUUUCUGGAAGAGAGGUGGGGGCUCCUCCCCCACAGGCUUGAAUCUGGAAGCGUGGACAUGGGAACCACUGUCUCCAUUUUUGCCAUCGGAGGUGGCCUGAGAAGACACCAGCUCAGGGAGCAGAUCAAAGACGAGCUGAGACAUGGAAAGAAACCAGGGUUUUGUGGUAGCGUAAACCUCACUCAGGCAACACCAGAAGAGGCUCAGCCCUUCUGCUGGACUUUUCAGUUCUGUGAGCUUGUAUUUGGUUUCUGCCUUUUUCUUUUUUUCUUUGGUCACUUGCCGCUGAGAGAGUCCUAGACGAAACAGCAGAUGUCAUCAAAUUGUGUCUUAGAUUCUAGUUUUUUAGAGACAGUGCUUCGUGGAAAGUGUAAUGGGAUUUGGUGAGAACAUCACAGUUCCCCACUUAGGCUAGCUCCUUCCAUCUCAGGUCUGUGUUUGUGAAACAGUGCCAGGAACGCCUGCCUAUUUUGAAGGAAAAGUAAGAAAAAGAAAAACUGUAAGGUGUUUUCAGAUUUUCAUUACUGUUAUUUUUAUGCGCUCCUUGUGGGUAGGAACUAGAGUGGUUUUUUUUUUGUUUUUGUUUUU